GAUUUAGGAUAUAAACUGGUUUUUCUCCCCCACCAACUUAUGACAUUACUGGGUAUCUUAUAGGAUAUUUAGGGCUCAAGAAAACAAAUGUAGAGGUUUGUCUCAGCUACUGGCCAGUAUAGCCAGCUGGGCUUAGAAGUCCUGGGUCCCUGCACCCACUCCUUUGCUGCUUAACUCCUGGCUGCACUAGUCUCUGCUAGGAUUAGCUAUGCCAGGACUGCUGCUGCGCACAGGGCGAUCAGAGCCGGAAAACAGCCUGCUUUGCAGUUUUCAGAGCUCAACAGAGGAGCCUUAAAAACUCUCCCAUCCAACUGUCUGAGAGGAAUGGAACUGUGCUUUCCUACAUUCAUAUUGAAAAGUUCAAUGCCCCCGGGUGGCUGUAUUUUGGGACACGCUAUUCGAUAAGGGAAAGCUUGGGAAACCCCCAUUCAGGUGAAAUGGCUCCUCCUGCUUCAGUCGCUGCUUAGGACUGAGACAUCCCUUAGGUUUGCUGACGACCACAGGGAAGCACUGUCACAGUCACAGUCACAGGACAACUCCUUUGCUCCACAGGCACUGCUUUCAUAGUAGUUCUAAUGUGAGCCAGAACUGAGAGCCACCAGCCCAGAGACACACCCCCUCCCAUCUACUGCUGUAUCUUUGGAAUUGAUCUCAACUCCUUAUGGACUUUUCUGUGAAGACAGGGCUUGGACCUGAUUUUCUGCUUAUCAAUAGCCAACACUGCAACCUCAUCUUCUUCAAAUUUAGGAUGGAGAUGAAGUAACAAAAGAAGGACCCUGGGAUGCUGGGAUAGCCAUUUGACAGUCACUGAGUGAAGUCCAUGUGUGUAUGGCCUGUGACCUGCCAAUCUUACUCUUUCCUAAAAUGUGUUUUUAUUUUUAAAAUUAAAAUAUAAGUACACCAUCCACCCCUUUGUUUCCUCCUUCCAUGUAGUACUUUUUCUUUGACUGUUAUUGAUCCAUGUAUGUAUAUAUGCAUAAACAUAUAAAUACAGCUUGCUGAGUCCA